rnacentral:tRNA from 2 species
GGGGCUGUAGCUCAGUUGGUAGAGCGCCUCCAUGGCAUGGAGGAGGCCAGGGGUUCAAUUCCCCUCAGCUCCA